rnacentral:rRNA from 1 species
UACAGAGGGUGCGAACGUUGCUCGGAAUUACUGGGCGUAAAGCGCGUGUAGGCGGGUCGCAAGUCAGGCGUGAAAUCCCCAGGCUCAACCUGGGAACUGCGCUUGAAACUGCCGGUCUUGAGUAUCGGAGAGGGUGGCGGAAUUCCUGGUGUAGCGGUGAAAUGCGCAGAUAUCAGGAGGAACACCGGUGGCGAAGGCGGAUCUCUGGGCCUUACCUGACGCUCAGGCGCGAAAGCUAGGGGAGCGAACAGG